UUUCUACGAAAUGUAACGAGCUUUUGAUCCCCUCUCACGGUUCAACGUUCCACGAAUAAUUUAUCAACUCGAAUAAAAUUUCCAAUUUACGUACACAGUUAGUUACGUACACGCAUUCAAAUAAAUUUACAAUUAUCUCGAAAUUACCUCGAAAAGUUCGUAUCAAUUCAUUGAUAAACUGCUUAUACUAUACUCGCAAGCAGUAGUAUACACAUUAAUUAAUGAAGAUGUAACAUAUGUAUUUCCAAUAAUAAGUAUGACCCACGAGAUGAAUCGAGGAAUUUAAAUUUUUGAGAAAAAAAUCCACGGAAUUCCCAUUUCUUCUUGAGUAUAGAACUCUACCUUUAAAUUUCAUAAAGAUGCGGAGUAUUACAACAGUUGAUGUUUACUUUUCUUAUGAAUGGUUGGUUAGAUUUUUCACUAUAGUAAAAAAAAUAAUAAUGGAAAUGUACGAAGACAGCGACGAAGAAAUUUUCAUAAGCAGUUUGAAUGUGAUGGACGAUCUACUCCGUGAAAUAAUAGCCCAAGAAAGAUAUAAAGAAGAACAUAACCCAAUACAGAGUCCAGAAGUGUCCAGUUCAACAUCGCAAGACCCUGUCGUAAUAAAAAAGAAGAAUAAACGCGUUUUAUUGAGACCACGAGUGUCAAGAGGGACUAGAAUGAAUCCGCUUAAAAAUGGUCAGACAUCGCGAAGUCGAAAUGUUCGAGAAAGUGAACCUCAGCCACAGAGCAGAGUCAGUUGAAGUCAGGUGGAGAUUCUUAUAGUCAGUUGCAGUUACCAAACUAUCCAUGCCAGCCAAUGGAUGAGAUUACCUAUGACGACGCUUCCAAUCUUCGAUAAACGGAUAUUAUUGUGAAAUUUCUUUUUUUCAUUAUGAGAAUGAAGUGAAAUCUAAGCAUAGCAACGAAGAAAUGGUGAGAAAAAUUCAUUUAGUUGGAGAUAAACUAUGUUGAAAUGAAACCUAUUGCUUGAUUCGACUAUACCUCUAUGUUUUGAGGAUGUGAUUUGAUUUUGCCAAAUUUGAAAUUACCAAUGUAAAUAAUCUUUUUUCAACUUUUCAUCUAUGUUUUUCUGUUUUCAUACUAAUAAAAUUUAGUUAUGGCA